GGUGCUUUAGAUCCACCUAGAGGAGCCUGUUCUAGAACCGAUAACCCCCGUUCAACCUCACCCCCUCUUGUUUUUCCCGUCUAUAUACCGCCGUCGUCAGCUUACCCUGUGAAGGACGAAUAGUAAGCAAAAUUGGUAAAGCCCAAAACGUCAGGUCGAGGUGUAGCAAAUGAGGGGGGAAGAAAUGGGCUACAUUCACUGCCACAGUGAACACGAAUGACGCAUUGAAACAUGCAUCUGAAGGAGGAUUCAGCAGUAAGAGGAAAACAGAGUGUUCCACUGAAAAUGGCCCUGAAGCGCGCACACACCGCCCGUCACUCUCCCCAAGCUUAAAUUAACAUUUAACUUAAACCCUAACAACUGCAAAGGGGAGGCAAGUCGUAACAUGGUAAGUGUACCGGAAGGUGUACUUGGAAUAAAU
rnacentral:rRNA from 1 species